UACAGAGGCCUCGAGCGUUAGGCGGAAUCACUGGGCUUAAAGCGUGUGUAGGUGGAUGCCUAAGUACCUUGUGAAAUCCCAUGGCUUAACCAUGGAAUUGCUUGGUAUACUGGGUGUCUUGAGCCACUCAGGGGCGAGCGGAACAAACGGUGGAGCGGAUGAAAUGCGUAGAAUAUCGUUUGGAACGCCAAUGGUGAAAACAGCUGCGCUAGGGGGUGCGCUGACAGCUGAGACACGAA
rnacentral:rRNA from 1 species